rnacentral:rRNA from 1 species
UACGUAGGGUCCGAGCGUUGUCCGGAAUUACUGGGCGUAAAGAGCUCGUAGGUGGUUUGUCGCGUUGUUCGUGAAAACCCACAGCUCAACUGUGGGCGUGCGGGCGAUACGGGCAGACUAGAGUACUGCAGGGGAGACUGGAAUUCCUGGUGUAGCGGUGAAAUGCGCAGAUAUCAGGAGGAACACCGGUGGCGAAGGCGGGCCUCUGGGCCGAUACUGACGCUGAGGAGCGAAAGCGUGGGGAGCAAACAGG